AAUAGAUACCCCGGUAGUCCUGGCCCUAAACGAUGAAUGCUUGGUGUGGCGGGUAUCGAUCCCUGCCGUGCCGUAGUUAACGCGUUAAGCAUUCCGCCUGGGGAGUACGGUCGCAAGGCUGAAACUCGAAAGGAAGUUGACGGGGGCCCGCACAAGCGGUGGAGCAUGUGGUUCAAUUCGACGCAACGCGAAGAACCUUACCUGGGCUCGAAAUGCAGGGGACCAUCGGCGAAAGCCGACUUCCGCAAGGACCGCUGCAUAGGUGCUGCAUGGCUGUCGUCAGCUCGUGUCGUGAGAUGUUGGGUUAAGUCCCGCAACGAGCGCAACCCUUGUCCUCUGUUGCCAUCAGGUCAAGCUGGGCACUCUGAGGAGACCGCCGGUGACAAACCGGAGGAAGGUGGGGAUGACGUCAAGUCAGCAUGGCCUUUAUGUCCAGGGCUACACACGUGCUACAAUGGCCGGUACAAAGCGCUGCAAGCCCGCGAGGGUGAGCUAAUCGCAUAAAGCCGGUCUCAGUUCGG
rnacentral:rRNA from 1 species